CCCUUAGAUGCUCUGGGCCGCACGCGCGCUACACUGGUCGAUGCAACGAGUUUCUUUCCUUGGCCGACAGGCCUGGGCAAUCUUUGAACAUCGAUCGUGAUCGGGAUAGAUUCUUGUAAUUUUUGAUCUUAAACGAGGAAUUCCUAGUAAACGCAAGUCAUCAGCUUGCAUUGAUUACGUCCCUGCCCUUUGUACACACCGCCCGUCGCACCUACCGAUUGAAUGGUCCGGUGAAAUCUCCGGACUGGCGUGAGUCGGAGCAAUCUGACAAACACCGGAAAGUUGAUUAAACCUUACCAUUUAGAGGAAGGUGAANUCGUAACA
rnacentral:rRNA from 1 species